AGACGUAGAUGUCAUGACUUCAGACUUUAAACGGUUGCGAGGGACAUCACAAUUUCCCGGACUAGGAGCCCCUUUCGCGCGCCUGUCGAAUUCAGCUGCAAUCGAUCUCUUUGAUUUACUCUUGGUUCAGUUCUUAGUUCCUCUCCUUUUCGUAUAGCGGCUCACAGCUGUUAUCAUGGCUUCGAAUCCACAAGAAGUUGGGAUUAGUUGCUGUUAGUACAUGUUGGCAUUUCAGUGGGUGAAGAAAGGCAAUUAAGCUCAAAGAAAGGAAAACAGAAGAAAUGUGCUUCAUGUGGUGGAUUUAAUGCAAAUGUAAGUAAGGGGUGCAAAGGAUGUGGCGCUGAAAUCAAAAUAAAAACCUUUGACUGAGAGAAGUUAAAAAACAAAAAAGAAGACACAUCCAACACAGCAGCGUAAGAUUCUUGAAU